rnacentral:piRNA from 1 species
UACAGAUGAGCUUUGGGGUCUUGCCA